GAUGAACGCUGGCGGCGUGCCUAAUACAUGCAAGUCGAGCGAACAGACGAGGAGCUUGCUCCUCUGACGUUAGCGGCGGACGGGUGAGUAACACGUGGAUAACCUACCUAUAAGACGGGGAUAACUUCGGGAAACCGGAGCUAAUACCGGAUAAUAUAUUGAACCGCAUGGAUCAAUAGUGAAAGACGGUUUGGCUGUCACUUAUAGAUGGAUCCGCGCCGCAUUAGCUAGUUGGUAAGGUAACGGCUUACCAAGGCAACGAUGCGUAGCCGACCUGAGAGGGUGAUCGGCCACACUGGAACUGAGACACGGUCCAGACUCCUACGGGAGGCAGCAGUAGGGAAUCUUCCGCAAUGGGCGAAAGCCUGACGGAGCAACGCCGCGUGAGUGAUGAAGGUCUUCGGAUCGUAAAACUCUGUUAUUAGGGAAGAACAAAUGUGUAAGUAACUAUGCACGUCUUGACGGUACCUAAUCAGAAAGCCACGGCUAACUACGUG
rnacentral:rRNA from 1 species